rnacentral:lncRNA from 1 species
CUGACCUCUACCUUCACCCGCCUCACAGGGUAGGAGACUGAGGACAUGGGCUGGGUAGGAAUGAGGCUUGUCACAGGUAGUAGGCAUGAUCAGCUUUUAAACUUGCCCAUGGAAACAUUUCUAAAACUGACCCCCUUAAGCAAAAUACAAUGAAUAUAAUUUGACCCUUUUUUAAGACCUUUCGGCCACCACUACAAAUAUCACUUCAUUGCUUCCUCUACCAAAGGGGCCCCACAGCUGUGCUCUGUGGUCCUGGGGUGUAUGUUUCUAAGCCUUUCUUGCUGCAGCCAAACGGUCAACCGUGCCCUCCCAGUGUUCCCAUGUUUUAUUACACCUUUACCUCCUGAGCUCUCCAAUUCAGAGCUCCUGAUCUCCAGUGUGUGGGCUGGGAACUCAGAGACAAUGCUCCUUAGUAUUGUGAAUGAGUCCUGAGAACUUUCCCAAGGAGCAAGGCUAAUCACAGGCAGUGUGCAGCCUGCCACUGUUUCAUGCUGGCAAACAUUUCAAGAAAAUGACAUUCUGGGUCCAAAAUACCUGGAUUCUCUGCCUAGUUUUGCCACUUGAUGUACAAUUUUGAGCGAAGUGCUCAAAGGCUCCUGUCUUCAGUUUCCUCAAUUAUAAACAUGGAUGCAUGCUGACUUCCCAAAAUUCUGUUGUGAUCACCAAAAUGAAAUGUUUAUGAAAGAACCUAUCCCAUAGUUUAAUCAGCCAACCCAGCCCCAGCUUCCCCUGGAUUCAUGUGAUAUUCUAGAUGACUAAAUUGUAAGUCAGUCUAGACGUUGGCAACGUCCUUUGCAAUGAAUGGAUAAAAUGCGAUGGGUUGAUGGGUGGAUAGAGGAACAGAUGGACAGAUCUAUGAGAAAACAAGUAAGAUGUUAAUGUUAACUGUAUAAUCUAGGUGGUGGGAAUAUGGGUGUCUACUUUAAAUUCCUUCAACUUUUCAGAAUAGUUGAAAACUGUCACUAAAAGAAUGUUGGGAAAAAAAAUCAUGCUAUAAGCACAUAGGGAGCAUCUGUGUGUCUUCUGUGUCUGGAGCAAAUGAACAACGCACAGAGGUGACUGUCCUUGCCACGCCGGGACUCUCAGAGUGGUGGUGGACCUGAGAGGGAUACUGGUCCCCCGCCUUGCAAAGCUGGCUUCAGGAGGCGUUCUGCCAGCAACUGCGCCCUGUGGCCUCAGGAGCAACCCUGCCUCUGUCUUGCCAUCCUUGUGCCUGCGGUGCUGCCUGUCUCUUCAGUGGCCUGACCAGUUUUCCCCCAAGUCCCUGCUCUCAGAGGUCCUCCUGCAUCCUUACUGCCACCAGAGUCACCUGAGCCACUGCUUCAGGUCAGGCAGCUACCUGUGAGGGAGAGCUGGCCUCCUGGGGAAGCAAGGGCCACAGCCUGGGCUGGCCUCUUUCUCUGCAGCCCCCCUCUUGCCCAGCUGUCUGGCAUGCCCGCCUUCCAGGGUCCACACAGCUGUGCCCCUCCCCAACCAGCAAAGAACCCAACUGUCAGGUUUCAGCUGCAGCACAACUGCCGCGAGUCGGCCACACUCUGUGAGGCUUUAAUGUCUGCCUUACUCUCUGGGACCCACCAUGCCUGUGUCCAUCUCUGGGACUCUGUAUACUCCUUGUUGUUUACAUUUCCUGCUAUGAGGCUGCUGGAAAGCAAAACCUGGGUUUUAUUCAUCUUUGUUCCUUUCCUAACUGGCGAAAGGAAGUGCUCAAUGCUGAUUAAAUGAUGAAAAACAAAUUAUCACGUCAACCCCAGAAGCUCUUUUAUACUAAAAAUGUGCACAGUUGUGUGUGUGUGUGUCUUUCUCCCCUACUACAUGGGCCCCUCUGAGGCUGUGUUUAGGUCCUGCUUGCCGCGUUUGCUGUUAGUGUCUAAUGCAGACUAAGCAGGCAGCACUGCCGCCUGACCUGAAGCGACAGAGAUGAGAUGCUCACAAGCCACCACCUGGCUGAGGGAAAAUGACUGUGAAAGGAACUGUGAAGGAAGAAAAGCAACAGAAGUUGCUCAGCUCAAUAUUCUAGGUUCUGUAAACGGCAAGAGAGUGCUCUUCACAGAAGGGCAGGCCUCACA